rnacentral:rRNA from 1 species
UGGGGAAUAUUGCGCAAUGGGCGAAAGCCUGACGCAGCAACGCCGCGUGCGGGAUGAAGGCCUUCGGGUUGUAAACCGCUUUCAGCAGGGAAGAAGCCGCAAGGUGACGGUACCUGCAGAAGAAGCACCGGCUAACUACGUGCCAGCAGCCGCGGUAAUACGUAGGGUGCAAGCGUUGUCCGGAUUUAUUGGGCGUAAAGAGCUCGUAGGCGGUUUGUUACGUCGGGUGUGAAAACUCGGGGCUUAACCCCGAGCCUGCAUCCGAUACGGGCAGACUUGAGUGUGGUAGGGGAGACUGGAAUUCCUGGUGUAGCGGUGAAAUGCGCAGAUAUCAGGAGGAACACCGGUGGCGAAGGCGGGUCUCUGGGCCAUAACUGACGCUGAGGAGCGAAAGCGUGGGGAGCAAACAGG